AGGAAGAACAACCACAGUGGCGGCGGCCAGCUCUCCAGUCCUGAAUUCAGCUCCUGCAGUAACUAUGGAGCUCUCAGUCUGCAGGGGCCUGGAGGCUCCGGGGCGGG
rnacentral:pre_miRNA from 1 species